rnacentral:rRNA from 1 species
AACGAACGCUGGCGGCAGGCUUAACACAUGCAAGUCGAGCGCCCCGCAAGGGGAGCGGCAGACGGGUGAGUAACGCGUGGGAAUCUACCCAUCUCUACGGAAUAACGCAUGGAAACGUGUGCUAAUACCGUAUACGUCCUUCGGGAGAAAGAUUUUUCGGAGAUGGAUGAGCCCGCGUUGGAUUAGCUAGUUGGUGGGGUAAAGGCCUACCAAGGCGACGAUCCAUAGCUGGUCUGAGAGGAUGAUCAGCCACACUGGGACUGAGACACGGCCCAGACUCCUACGGGAGGCAGCAGUGGGGAAUAUUGGACAAUGGGCGCAAGCCUGAUCCAGCCAUGCCGCGUGAGUGAUGAAGGCCCUAGGGUUGUGAAGCUCUUUCACCGGUGAAGAUAAUGACGGUAACCGGAGAAGAAGCCCCGGCUAACUUCGUGCCGGCCGCCGCAGUAACAC